CUCUGGAAAAAAAUGUUCAGUUACUAGAAACGCCUCGAUAGAGCAACAUCAAACAUUAAAAUUCGAAAAAAAAAUAUCAAAAAUGUUUACACAAAUCAAUUUUUAAGUUUUCUAUUUUUGUUUUCUUUGUUUGUACGAUGUACCAUUGUAAAGCUAACUCUGAAACAAAGCAAAGGAUCCGUCCGCGUUCGAUAACUGCCACUACUUACGUUUUGUUCAUUCGAUUCUUGCGGCACGAUCAUUGUGGUUUGUCGAAAACAGUCUGCAGUCGCACCAAAGCUUUGGGUUGGCUCUUUGUGGGUGUCGUCCUGUUGGCUGAUCCGUUGCUAUUGAUUCUGGGGGGACACCGUCGAAUUGGCAUCUUGAGAGUAUGAAUAGAGCCUGUUCUAUCCCCAUAGCAUCCACGCAUUCCUUUGGUAUGUAUAGAUAAUGAUUGCUCUUUCACAUGCUUAUGCAAGCACACUUUUCUUCAAGGUAAACCUCAAGGCAAUGCCCAUGGAAUCCAUCCAAGUUCUAUCUUGGAAACAUUGCUUAUUUUUUUACCCAAGAACCUUUUUACACCAGAAGAAAAGCCUGCACUAGAAGGGGACAAACUGCAUCGUCACUAGCAGGAAGGAAUUAUUUCUGAUUUUGAGGUGAGAGCAGAGGGGCGAUUGAUGUUCGGUUUUAUUCAUUUUCGACCAUUUAGGAACCAAACACAAAUUCAAAGACUUGUCGUGUGUUGACUGCUGUAAGCACCAGUUAAUAAUCGACUACGGCUUGAGGCAGGUCACGGCUGCCUUCCAAAAUAACUAGCAAAGGAUCAGCGAAUAGGAUGAGAAACAUGAAAAACGAACCCCAUGGCGAGGAUCAAACUGCAGAUUAAAGUUAUCUAAAAAUCUUCGCCAACUGUUUGUUCCACGGUCCAAGGAAUGUAUUCUGUCGGAGGAGAAAGAAAGCAUUUAAUUAUGUGUUUAAUAUCAGAGGAAAGAGCAAGAGAACCCGCUUUCAUUCGUUUCUUUUCAUUCCAAGCAGUCUUCACUGUAAUCCUGAGCAAGGGGCAUGGGAAUUCCUGUCGGGGUAUGUGCCGGUUGUUGCGUGUUUACGCAACGUAACCAAAGUCAAAUCCUCUCGAUUAGGAUUCAAUCUGCUGCAGGGCCCUGACACGGCAACACUGCUUGUUGGUCCUUGUUGUUGCAUGCCACACUGCGUCCCACCUCCCAGCAGUCAGGUCAGGCAGCAAAGUCAAACCGAUUAAAACACACGCACGGACACGGAUACGGCCACGGAUACGAGGACGAGGACACAGGACACAGGACAGGGGCAAAUGGAGAACCAUUGUCCAGGGCGGUGCGGUGCUUUGGUGUCCACGUGUGUCCGUGGUGCGGACUCUGAACUCCGUAUCUGUGGAUCCAUAGGAACUCCCGUAGCUGUGUCGCUGUCUGUGGAGCGGUAUUCUUCAAGGGGCAAUUAACUGUUAAGCUUCCCCAACAGCAACAGCAGUAGCCGGAAAAAAACGUUGCAAGCGGCAAAAAAAUAGUUGCCACACUGCGUGAAGCGGAGAGCGUCGAGCGGGUAGCGGGUAGCGGGUAGCGGUGCGGACAUGUGGCGGGGCUUGCAUAGAUUAGAUUUUUGCCGAAACAAGACCCCACCCAUAGCUCCCUCAAUCCCCCAAACAUCGCACUGCUACGGAGUGGCAAAAUAUUUGCAGCUGCCACAGCAGCCUCAGCAGCACACAGUGGCGGCCAUAAAAGAGCCAUUAACGCCAGGAGUCGGACCAGCCACCCAUGCCUCCUCAGUCCAGGAUAUUUUAAAGCUUUUAAAUUUGUUGGGGCCAGAGGAAAAUUCGUCUGCUGCUGUCAGCGACAUCCAAGCGACUCCAAUUGCCAAUUAGGAAAGGUGCAAGAAAUCAAAUUAAAAACCGCACAAAAAAGUGCAGGAAAAACAAUCGAGUGGGCCAGCAGGCAUGGGGGAAUUUCUGGACUAAAUCGCGCCCUGGAGCUGGACCAGCGAGAGAUAGGGAGAGAGAGGAGGGAAAAACGCGCAAACGAAAAUGAACACGAAACCAAUUUUAGCUCAAGAAUAAGAAAAAUAAUAACAGAAAAAAUAAGAAAAAGAAAGCGUCUAAUGGGG
rnacentral:lncRNA from 1 species